UGGACAGAUUAUUGCAUUCGACUGUAUUUCACUGUAUUCACGAUAUGAAAUAGGGGAUUACACUAUUUUUAAACGGAAAGUGAAUCAAUUAACAUAAUAGACUCCU
rnacentral:pre_miRNA from 1 species